rnacentral:rRNA from 1 species
UACAGAGGGUGCGAGCGUUAAUCGGAAUUACUGGGCGUAAAGGGCGCGUAGGCGGCCUUCUAAGUCAGACGUGAAAUCCCUCGGCUCAACCGAGGAACUGCGUCUGAUACUGGAAGGCUUGAAUCCGGGAGAGGGAUGUGGAAUUCCAGGUGUAGCGGUGAAAUGCGCAGAUAUCAGGAAGAACACCCGUGGCGAAAGCGGCUCUCUGGGACGGUACCGACGCUGAGACGCGAAAGCGUGGGGAGCGAACAGG